UACGUAGGGUGCAAGCGUUGUCCGGAAUUAUUGGGCGUAAAGAGCUCGUAGGCGGUUUGUCGCGUCUGCUGUGAAAUCUGGGGGCUCAACCCCCAGCCUGCAGUGGGUACGGGCAGACUAGAGUGCGGUAGGGAGAUUGGAAUUCCUGGUGUAGCGGUGAAAUGCGCAGAUAUCAGGAGGAACACCGAGUGGCGAAGGCAGGUCUCUGGCCACUACUGACGCUGAGGAGCGAAAGCCAGGGAGCAAAGCAGG
rnacentral:rRNA from 1 species